rnacentral:snoRNA from 1 species
AACCUGAUCGCUUGCCAGUGGGGGGCUGAGGCGAUGCCCCUCAAAGGGAAUCUGGAGGUU